UGCUGGAGGUAUCAGAAGUGCGAAUGCUGACAUAAGUAACGAUAAAGCGGGUGAAAAGCCCGCUCGCCGGAAGACCAAGGGUUCCUGUCCAACGUUAAUCGGGGCAGGGUGAGUCGACCCCUAAGGCGAGGCCGAAAGGCGUAGUCGAUGGGAAACAGGUUAAUAUUCCUGUACUUGGUGUUACUGCGAAGGGGGGACGGAGAAGGCUAUGUUGGCCGGGCGACGGUUGUCCCGGUUUAAGCGUGUAGGCUGGUUUUCCAGGCAAAUCCGGAAAAUCAAGGCUGAGGCGUGAUGACGAGGCACUACGGUGCUGAAGCGACAAAUGCCCUGCUUCCAGGAAAAGCCUCUAAGCAUCAGGUAACAUCAAAUCGUACCCCAAACCGACACAGGUGGUCAGGUAGAGAAUACCAAGGCGCUUGAGAGAACUCGGGUGAAGGAACUAGGCAAAAUGGUGCCGUAACUUCGGGAGAAGGCACGCUGAUAUGUAGGUGAAGCGACUUGCUCGUGGAGCUGAAAUCAGUCGAAGAUACCAGCUGGCUGCAACUGUUUAUUAAAAACACAGCACUGUGCAAACACGAAAGUGGACGUAUACGGUGUGACGCCUGCCCGGUGCCGGAAGGUUAAUUGAUGGGGUUAGCGGUAACGCGAAGCUCUUGAUCGAAGCCCCGGUAAACGGCGGCCGUAACUAUAACGGUCCUAAGGUAGCGAAAUUCCUUGUCGGGUAAGUUCCGACCUGCACGAAUGGCGUAAUGAUGGCCAGGCUGUCUCCACCCGAGACUCAGUGAAAUUGAACUCGCUGUGAAGAUGCAGUGUACCCGCGGCAAGACGGAAAGACCCCGUGAACCUUUACUAUAGCUUGACACUGAACAUUGAGCCUUGAUGUGUAGGAUAGGUGGGAGGCUUUGAAGUGUGGACGCCAGUCUGCAUGGAGCCGACCUUGAAAUACCACCCUUUAAUGUUUGAUGUUCUAACGUGGGCCCCUUACCGGGGUUGCGGACAGUGUCUGGUGGGUAGUUUGACUGGGGCGGUCUCCUCCUAAAGAGUAACGGAGGAGCACGAAGGUUGGCUAAUCCUGGUCGGACAUCAGGAGGUUAGUGCAAUGGCAUAAGCCAGCUUGACUGCGAGCGUGACGGCGCGAGCAGGUGCGAAAGCAGGUCAUAGUGAUCCGGUGGUUCUGAAUGGAAGGGCCAUCGCUCAACGGAUAAAAGGUACUCCGGGGAUAACAGGCUGAUACCGCCCAAGAGUUCAUAUCGACGGCGGUGUUUGGCACCUCGAUGUCGGCUCAUCACAUCCUGGGGCUGAAGUAGGUCCCAAGGGUAUGGCUGUUCGCCAUUUAAAGUGGUACGCGAGCUGGGUUUAGAACGUCGUGAGACAGUUCGGUCCCUAUCUGCCGUGGGCGCUGGAGAACUGAGGGGGGCUGCUCCUAGUACGAGAGGACCGGAGUGGACGCAUCACUGGUGUUCGGGUUGUCAUGCCAAUGGCACUGCCCGGUAGCUAAAUGCGGAAGAGAUAAGUGCUGAAAGCAUCUAAGCACGAAACUUGCCCCGAGAUGAGUUCUCCCUGACUCCUUGAGAGUCCUGAAGGAACGUUGAAGACGACGACGUUGAUAGGCCGGGUGUGUAAGCGCAGCGAUGCGUUGAGCUAACCGGUACUAAUGAACCGUGAGGCUUAACCUU
rnacentral:rRNA from 10 species